rnacentral:rRNA from 1 species
GACAGAGGCCCCAAGCGUUAGGCGGAAUCACUGGUCUUAAAGCGUGUGUAGGCGGAUCGUUAAGUGUCUUGUGAAAUCCCACGGCUCACCCGUGGAACUGCUGGGCAUACUGGCGAUCUUGGGCCAACUAGGGGCAGCCGGAACAAGCGGUGGAGCGGUGAAAUGCGUAGAUAUCGCUUGGAACGCCGAAGGUGAAAACAGGCUGCUGGGGUUGCGCCGACGCUGAGACACGAAAGCCAGGGGAGCAAACGGG